AGACAAAACGUAAAAGACAAACACAUUCUAAGUAGUGCUGCUAGAUCACUGUAUUAGUCCUUCCCGUGCUGCUAUGAAGAAAUACCCGAGACUGGGUAAUUUGUAAAGGAAUUUAUGGUAUUUAGGCUUCUUAGGUCUUCUGACAAAGGACAGAUUAAAGACCUUGGAAAAUAGGCAGAAGGAUUUCGAAUUCAUGCAGAAGAUGGUGGAAAUUCUAGGACAGAAAAAUGAUCAAUUUGGAAGAUUGAGAAUGAGAACAGAUAAAGAAAACCUGAAGGAAAGGCACCAGUGCCUGGAACAUAUACUUGAUGUGGAUAGAAGCCAUCCAGAGCCCAUUUGUCAAGUGAAGUAAAAACUUUUGUAUACAAACAGGGUUCAAACUGGACACAAAUAGGCAGUUCUUGUAAAUAAUAAAAGUAAC
rnacentral:lncRNA from 1 species